rnacentral:rRNA from 1 species
CUCCUAAGGCUAAAUACUCUCUAGUGACCGAUAGUGAACCAGUACCGUGAGGGAAAGGUGAAAAGCACCCCGGAAGGGGAGUGAAAUAGAACCUGAAACCGUGUGCUUACAAGUAGUCAGAGCCCGUUAAUGGGUGAUGGCGUGCCUUUUGUAGAAUGAACCGGCGAGUUACGAUUUGAUGCAAGGUUAAGCAGUAAAUGUGGAGCCGUAGCGAAAGCGAGUCUGAAUAGGGCGUUUAGUAUUUGGUCGUAGACCCGAAACCAGGUGAUCUACCCUUGGUCAGGUUGAAGUUCAGGUAACACUGAAUGGAGGACCGAACCGACUUACGUUGAAAAGUGAGCGGAUGAACUGAGGGUAGCGGAGAAAUUCCAAUCGAACCUGGAGAUAGCUGGUUCUCUCCGAAAUAGCUUUAGGGCUAGCCUCAAGUGAUGAUUAUUGGAGGUAGAGCACUGUUUGGACGAGGGGCCCCUCUCGGGUUAC